CAUGUUUUCAAACCCUUUUAUUUGCUUCUAAAAGGAUUUGAAAACUUUCUCUUUUCUUUUUCUUAACCUAAAUUAAACACACUACGGCGAGGACUUGAUCCCGUCAACAAAUAUUUUUAUCGCAAAAUUUCGAGCACCAAUUACGUAAUUAGUAUUUUUCUCCAAUUUUUUAAAUCUCAAAUUCGCCUCGCUGUAAUUUAAAUUUAUGCAACUAACAAGUUUAUAUUACGUAAUUUUUACGAUCAUGUCCUUCGAUUAGAUCAAGCGAAAGUUUUUUAUUCCCCAUCACAGAAAUUCAAGCGCCAAAUUCAAAUUAAAUUAAUUAUUGAGGACAUGAGGGGGAUGAUCUGUUUGUCGUACAACUAAAUUAUUUAAACGUCCUAUUGAUAGAUAUGAGGACAGUUUCCAUCAAACAAUGAAGUCUGCAAGAUAUUUGUGUUAAAUGUCUUGGAAUAAAGCGACCCGAGAUGAAACUUUUACCCCAUUUUCCCGAAUUCCACCAAUCGGAAGUAAAAAUAAUAAUUUCAAAAACUUUAGAAUGGAAAGUAAAGCUGUGGAGGUAGGGGCAAGAAAUGCUGGAUUMCAAUUCAAAAAAAGAAAACUGCAACCAAACGAUAUUUCCAGAUCAUUAGAAUCUAACCGAUUAUUAAUUCGUCGCAAAACAUACGUCGUCCUCGAGCCACUAGUUUGUAAACCUAACAAAAACAAAUACUCAAAAAAUUCUUAUAAAUAAAUUUAUUUAUUUAUUUGUAA